CGGCGAGCGAAACGGGAACAGCCCAAACCAUACGUAUUUAUAUGUGUGGGGUUGUAGGGCGGUAGCAGCAUUUAGUUGCGCAGAGUUACCAAGUUGGAAUAUAGCAGAACUAACUGGGAAGUUAGACCCUAGUGGGUAAUAGUCCCGUAUGCGAAAUGUUCCAGCCUCUGUGGUUACCGUUCCUGAGUAGUUCGAGACAUGAAUAGCUCGAAUGAAUCUGGGAGAACUAACUCCUAAGGCUAAAUAUUUUCUUAGACCGAUAGUGAACUAGUACCGUGAGGGAAAGGCGAAAAGAACCCCGGAGAGGGGAGUGAAAUAGAACCUGAAAUCGUAUGCUUACAAGGAAUGGGAGGCCGCUGUCGUUUGCUUGCAAACGUCUUGGCUGACCAUGUGCCUAUUGUAGUAUGAGCCUGCGAGUUAAUGUAUGCAGCAAGGUUAAGGGAUUGUAGUCCCGGAGUCGAAGCGAAAGCGAGUCUGAAUAGGGCGUUUAAGUUGCAUGUAUUAGACCCGAAGCCGAGUGAUCUAGCUUUGGUCAGGAUGAAGUUGGGGUAACACCCAAUGGAGGUCCGAACCGUUGAACGUUGAAAAGUUCUCGGAUGAACUGAUGCUAGGGGUGAAAGGCCAAUCAAACUCGGCGAUAG
rnacentral:rRNA from 1 species